rnacentral:lncRNA from 1 species
GAACAAUGGUUGCUAGAGUUAGCAAAACAAAGUAAUGUGACACUAGAGUUAGUGUGUGGUAUCAAGAGAAAUGUGACGCAGGAAUAACAAUAAUGAUUAGAGACAAGAAAAGAAAAUAAAAGUGGCAUAAAGAAUGAGUAAAGUUAAAGAACAAUGAUUGCUAGAGUUAGCAAAAUAAAGUGAUGUAAAGAACACUAGAGUUAGUGUAAAAAUAAUGAUUGAACUAUGUAUCCUUAGAAUUAAGGAUCGAUCAUACUU